CAGGUUAUCAGGUGGUGCAUGGGUUGUCGUCAGCUCGUGUCGUGAGGUGUUGGGUUAAGUCCCGCAACGAGCGGCAACCCUUUUUUUUUUAGUUGCCAUCAGGUAAAUGGUGGGAACUUUUAGGGAGACUGCCGUGGUAAAAUGCGAGGAAGGGGGGGGUGAUGUCAAAUCAUCAUGGCCCUUAUGUCCUGGGGUUCACACAUGCUACAAUGGGCGGUACAAA
rnacentral:rRNA from 1 species